rnacentral:lncRNA from 1 species
CUCUUUUAUUACUUCUUCAUAAAAUAAUUACCUUAGAUCUUCGAGGAUAUGAUUCUAACUCACUCUAUCUAUAUAGUUUGAGUUAGUUUUUAUUUUUGAUCGCCUACAACGGUGAUCAACUACCUUAGAGUAGAAAAGACCUGAGCCAGAUGCACCUACUGACAUUUCUGAUUUGACUAGGGAGAUAGCUUGACUGAGGGAGAGCCUUAAGUCCAGGAGUACUAAGAUAAAAUCAGCCAUC